rnacentral:sRNA from 1 species
GCUGGCCAUGGUGGUGCAUGCCUGUAAUCCCAACUACUCGGAGGCUGAGACAGGAGGAUGGCAAGGUCAAUGCCAGCCUCAGAAAUUUACCAAGACCCUGUCUCAA